CCUACGGGUGGCAGCAGUGAGGAAUAUUGGUCAAUGGGCGCGAGCCUGAACCAGCCAAGUAGCGUGAAGGACGACUGCCCUACGGGUUGUAAACUUUCUUUAUAAAGGAAUAAAGUGAGGCACGUGUGCCUUUUUGUAUGUACUUUAUGAAUAAGGAUCGGCUAACUCCGUGCCAGCAGCCGCGGUAAUACGGAGGAUCCGAGCGUUAUCCGGAUUUAUUGGGUUUAAGGGGAGCGUAGAUGGGUUGUUAAGUCAGUUGUGAAAGGUUGCGGCUCAACCGUAAAAUUGCAAUUGAUACUGGCUGCCUUGAGUACAGUUGAGGUAGGCGGAAUUCGUGGUGUAGCGGUGAAAUGCUUAGAUAUCACGAAGAACUCCGAUUGCGAAGGCAGCUUACUAAACUGCCACUGACAUUGAUGCUCGAAAGUGUGGGUAUCAAACAGGAUUAGAUACCCUGGUAGUC
rnacentral:rRNA from 1 species